GUCACUGGAGCCUAGAAGCUUGGAGAAGAGGUUCUGUGGAGCUGAGACCAGGCCCUCUGAAGUGAGAGUGUUGCCAGUUGGUGGCCAUACCCCAGAAGUGAAGAGGCAGCUGCAUUUUGGGGACCCUUGUUGGGGGAGUAUUAGAGUACUGGGCUUCCAUCUGUAAGGGAGCUUCUGGGAAUAGAGGAAAACUGGACAUUAAACCUAAAUGCCAGGGCAAAGAGCCAUUGUUAAGUUCAUGUUGGCAGGAUUAAGACGACACUAGGAAAGGGUAUAUGUUCUUCAUUUGCUACUGAGAGGGCUGGUACAAGGUCUUCUCUGUAAUACAGAAAAUGUCCCCUAAGUGGCUUUGCAAGCUGCCAUGUUACUGCAGAAGCAAUGAUGUGGAGACAAGCUGGGCAAAGAAGUGAUAUCUUCAUCAAACAGCAAGAAAUGACCCGAGGCCCUCAACAGCCACUUCAGUGAAAUUAAAAAUGGAGCCUUCUUUAGUGGAGUUUUGGAAUGACCUUGGCCCAGCUGACCCUUAGGGUACAGCCUUGUGGGUGGUCCUUGCCUGAACUCCUGACCCACAGAAGCUAUGAGAUAAUAAAUGUAUCUUAUUUUGAGCCACUAACAUGUAAAGUAAUUUUUAUACAGCUAUUGAUAACUAACAGCUAUAGAUAACUAACAUACAUGAUAGCAGGUAUCCCGGCAUUCUUUAGAAACAAUAUAGACAAACCUAUAAAGUGUCCAUGUGAUCAUUUGAACAACAUAAAAUAUAAAACAAAAUCAUGUGUAACAAAUAUAAAUAAAAUAUCCAUGCUAGUUUGAAAAAACAGACGUAUUUAAGCAUAGUCUUCAGGUCAUUGAACUACUGUAGAGGAAGUGGAACAAAUAUUGAAAUCAAGAGAGUUAGUGUGUUUCAGUGAAGCUAUUUCUAAUCUUCCUGGUCCAAUAUCUAUGAGAACCCAGGGAAAUCCCAAGCUGACAACUAAAAUGCAAAAAUAGUUGGAUCACAAAUAUCUCAAUUAGGAUUCAAUUUACAAAAUGAAUGAGUUCUUUAAAAGAGAGAACAAAACAAAACCUAACAGAAUAUUUCUCAUUUAGCAAGUAAAUUUUUAAAAAAAUGUCCUAACAGGGUAGAAUCAGAUAGUACCUACCAGAACGUUCUGCUCUAAACAAAAUGCAGUUUUUCUUUGGAGACACCCUAUAAUCUUUUUGGCUUAUUACAAAUUUCCUUACAAUAGGUUCCUAGAAGCUAGUGAAAAAUAAACAUAGCCAUUGCAUAAUACACAACAUCCAUAAUACUUUCUCAAAUUGCAGACAGAGAUGAAUGAACCUAUUUUUUUUUCUA